rnacentral:rRNA from 1 species
AUGAACGCUGGCGGCGUGCCUAAUCCAUGCAAGUCGAGCGAACGGACGAGAAGCUUGCUUCUCUGAUGUUAGCGGCGGACGGGUGAGUAACACGUGGAUAACCUACCUAUAAGACUGGGAUAACUUCGGGAAACCGGAGCUAAUACCGGAUGAUAUUUUGAACCGCAUGGUUCAAAAGUGAAAGACGGUCUUGCUGUCACUUAUAGAUGGAUCCGCGCUGCAUUAGCUAGUUGGUAAGGUAACGGCUUACCAAGGCAACGAUGCAUAGCCGACCUGAGAGGGUGAUCGGCCACACUGGAACUGAGACACGGUCCAGACUCCUACGGGAGGCAGCAGUAGGGAAUCUUCCGCAAUGGGCGAAAGCCUGACGGAGCAACGCCGCGUGAGUGAUGAAGGUCUUCGGAUCGUAAAACUCUGUUAUUAGGGAAGAACAUAUGUGUAAGUAACUGUGCACAUCUUGACGGUACCUAAUCAGGAAGCCACGGCUAACUACGUG